UGGGGAAUAUUGGGCAAUGGGCGAAAGCCUGACCCAGCCACGCCGCGUGAGUGAUGAAGGCCUUCGGGUCGUAAAGCUCUGUGGGGAGGGACGAAUAAGCCGGGUGCUAAUAUCACCAGGCCCUGACGGUACCUCCUUAGCAAGCACCGGCUAACCAUGUGCCAGCAGCCGCGGUAAUACAUGGGGUGCAAACGUUGCUCGGAAUUAUUGGGCGUAAAGCGCACGUAGGCGGUUUGUUAAGUCGGAUGUGAAAUCCCUCGGCUCAACUGAGGAAGUGCAUCCGAAACUGGCAAGCUUGAGUACGAAAGAGGGUCGCGGAAUUCCCGGUGUAGAGGUGAAAUUCGUAGAUAUCGGGAGGAACACCGGUGGCGAAGGCGGCGACCUGGGUCGAUACUGACGCUGAGGUGCGAAAGCGUGGGGAGCAAACAG
rnacentral:rRNA from 1 species